GAUGAACGCUGGCGGCGUGCCUAACACAUGCAAGUCGAGCGAAGCGGUUUUAAGGAAGUUUUCGGAUGGAAUUAAAACUGACUGAGCGGCGGACGGGUGAGUAACGCGUGGGUAACCUGCCUCAUACAGGGGGAUAACAGUUAGAAAUGGCUGCUAAUACCGCAUAAGCACACAGCUUCGCAUGGAGCAGUGUGAAAAACUCCGGUGGUAUGAGAUGGACCCGCGUCUGAUUAGCUAGUUGGUAAGGUAACGGCUUACCAAGGCGACGAUCAGUAGCCGACCUGAGAGGGUGACCGGCCACAUUGGGACUGAGACACGGCCCAAACUCCCACGGGAGGCAGCAGUGGGGAAUAUUGCACAAUGGGGGAAACCCUGAUGCAGCGACGCCGCGUGAGUGAAGAAGUAUCUCGGUAUGUAAAGCUCUAUCAGCAGGGAAGAAAAUGACGGUACCUGACUAAGAAGCCCCGGCUAACUACGUGCCAGCAGCCGCGGUAAUACGUAGGGGGCAAGCGUUAUCCGGAUUUACUGGGUGUAAAGGGAGCGUAGACGGCGGAGCAAGUCCGAAGUGAAAGCCCGGGGCUCAACCCCGGGACUGCUUUGGAAACUGUUCUGCUAGAGUGCUGGAGAGGUAAGUGGAAUUCCUAGUGUAGCGGUGAAAUGCGUAGAUAUUAGGAGGAACACCAGUGGCGAAGGCGGCUUACUGGACAGUAACUGACGUUGAGGCUCGAAAGCGUGGGAGCAAACAGGAUUAGAUACCCUGGUAGUCCACGCCGUAAACGAUGAAUGCUAGGUGUUGGAGGGCAAAGCCCUUCGGUGCCGCCGCAAACGCAAUAAGCA
rnacentral:rRNA from 1 species